AGAGUUCGAUCCUGGCUCAGGAUGAACGCUGGCGGCGUGCCUAACACAUGCAAGUCGAACGAGAUGCGUAUUGGAAAGCUUCGGCCGGAAGAUACGUUAUCUAGUGGCGGACGGGUGAGUAACACGUGGGUAACCUGCCUUAUGGAGGGGGAUAACAGAGAGAAAUCACUGCUAAUACCGCAUAAGCACACAGUACCGCAUGGUACAGGGUGAAAAGAUUUAUCGCCAUAAGAUGGACCCGCGUCUGAUUAGCCAGUUGGCAGGGUAAAAGCCUACCAAAGCAACGAUCAGUAGCCGAUCUGAGAGGAUGACCGGCCACAUUGGGACUGAGACACGGCCCAAACUCCUACGGGAGGCAGCAGUGGGGAAUAUUGCACAAUGGGGGAAACCCUGAUGCAGCGACGCCGCGUGAGUGAAGAAGUAUUUCGGUAUGUAAAGCUCUAUCAGCAGGGAAGAUAAUGACAGUACCUGACUAAGAAGCCCCGGCUAACUACGUGCCAGCAGCCGCGGUAAUACGUAGGGGGCAAGCGUUAUCCGGAUUUACUGGGUGUAAAGGGAGCGUAGACGGAAUGGCAAGUCUGAAGUGAAAUACCCGGGCUCAACCUGGGAACUGCUUUGGAAACUGUUGUUCUAGAGUGUUGGAGAGGUAAGUGGAAUUCCUGGUGUAGCGGUGAAAUGCGUAGAUAUCAGGAAGAACACCGGAGGCGAAGGCGGCUUACUGGACAAUAACUGACGUUGAGGCUCGAAAGCGUGGGGAUCAAACAGGAUUAGAUACCCUGGUAGUCCACGCUGUAAACGAUGAAUACUAGGUGUCGGGGUGCAAAGCAUCUCGGUGCCGUCGCUAACGCAAUAAGUAUUCCACCUGGGGAGUACGUUCGCAAGAAUGAAACUCAAAGGAAUUGACGGGGACCCGCACAAGCGGUGGAGCAUGUGGUUUAAUUCGA
rnacentral:rRNA from 1 species